GGGGGGGAGAGCAGUAGAGACAAUGCCUGUGUCCAUCCUAAGCUCUGCCACCCAGGGCCACCUAGGGUGGAUGCUAGUCACCCGGGCCUGUGCUCCAAGGGCCCUUCAUGGCCCCCUGACUGCCUGUGAGCUGCCUGGGGGCAUCCAAGACAGGAACGCCCAGGCUGUGCCUUCAGGCCUUGUUCGGUCUCAUCCACACGGCCCUGUGUGCAUUCUGCCCACUGGGGUCCCGUGGUGGAAAGAUGCCCAUCCUGAGCACCAGGGGCUCUGUAGCAGCACGUGUGGUCACGACACCGUGAAGGUUGCACAGAUGGUAGCUUGUGUACUUGGGUGUGGGACGGGUUUUAUUGCUGUUGCACAAUGUACAAGGCUACUGAUAUCCGUUCAUUUUUUUCCUGAUAAGAUCAUUGUUUCUGAAGCAAUAGAAGCUUAGUAACCAGAACAAAAGCCAAAGCCAUUUUUGCUAAUCCAGGUACAGUUGAUUUCAAUGUCAUGUUAGUUUCAGGUGUACAGCAAAGGGAUUCAGCUACAUAAAAGUAUUUUUUCAGAUUCUCUUCCCUUCUAGGUUCUCUUCCCUUCUAGGUUAUUACAAGAUAAUACAGUUUCCUGUGCUGAUCAGCAGGUCCUUGCUGUUUACCUGUUUUAUAUAAAGUAGUGUGUCUGUUAAUCCCAAACACCUAAAAUAUCCCCCCCACCGUAUUGGUAACCAUGAGUUUAUUUUCUGUCUGUGAACCUGUUUCUAUUUUGUAAAUAAAUUCGUUUGUAUCGUAGCUUAGAUCCCACAAGAUGUUUGUCUUUCUCUGACCUCACUUAGUAUGAUAAUUUUUAGGUCCAUCCAUGUUGCUGCAAGGGGCAUGAUUUCAUUCUUUUUUUAUGGCUGAGUAAUAUUCCAUUGUAUGUCUGUGUUUUCUCUCUAUAACAUCAUCUUCAUCCACUCCUCUGCUGAUGGGUGUUUAGGUUGCUUCCAUGGCUUGGCUAUUGUAUUCAGGGCUGCUGUGCAUGUGGGAGCAUGUGUAUCUUUUGGAAUUACUAUUUUUCGUCUUUUCCAGAUACAUGCUCAGGAAUGCGAUUGCUAGCUGAGAGUGAUUUACAGUGUUCUAUCAGCUACAGGUGUACAAUAUUGCGAUACAGUGUUUUUAUAAAUUAUGCCCCAUUUAAGGUUAUUGUAAAAUCUCCAAAGUUCCCUGGCGAUGCACUGGGUUAAGGAUGUGGUGCUGUCAUUGCAGUGGCUCAGUGGGUUAAGAACCCAACUAGCAUCCAUGAGGAUGAAUGUUUGAUCCCUGGCCUCGCUCCGUGGGUUAGGGAUCCAGGGUUCCCGUGAGCUGUGGUGUAGGUCUCACAGCUCAGAUCCCACAUCCCUGUGGCUCUAGGUGUAGGCUGGCAGCUGCAGCUCCAGUUAAAUCCCUGGCCUGAGAACUUCCAUGUGCUGCAGGUGCAGCCCUAAAAAAUAAAACAAAAAGCAAACAACCCUUCAGAUAUGACCUCAAAACUUCAAUUCGAUGUCAAACUCCCACAGGUGAGAGGAGGUUAUUACUUUUCAGAAAAGUAAACUGCCUUGAAAAACGACAGCCCAGCACCCUCCCCGAGGCCAUAGCACCCAUGUUAACAGGCAGUGAAAGGCCUCUUAGGGUGGCCAGUUCACAACCUGCCUUUGGAGAGGGUGCUGGUCUCAGAAGCCAGGCUGGAGGAGGGUCCUUUGCAGACGGGGGGAGGGGACCUACUUUGGACGCGUGAGAUUCUGAAAGAUCAGCCGCGUUCUUCACCAGCAAAGGGUGGUUUUCUCUCUGAAAGGGAACCAGUUGCUGGUGAGAUGCCCAGACUCUCCCGCAUUCUGCCAGGAGGAACGUGGCACUUCACAGCAGCUCUGUGGGCAGAUUCUGGAAACACAGGAGCUGUCAUUGCUGGGCAAAAUAGAGGAAAGCAAUCUACAGGGGAGACCCUGGGGGAUUUCAAAGUCCUUGGGGCGUUCCCAUGGUGGCCUGGCAGGUUCAUGACCGGAUGUUGUCUCCAUGAGGAUGCAAGUUCGAUCCCUGGCCUCACUCCAUGGGUUAAGGAUCUGGUGUUGCCAUGAGCUGUGGUGUAGGUCGCAGUUUCGGCUUGGACCCUGUGUGGCCAUGGCUGUGGUGUAGGCUGGCAGCUGAAGCUCCUAUUCGAGCCCCAGUCCAGGAACUUCCAUGUGCCGCAGGUGCAGCCCUAAAAAGGCAAAGUCCUUGAUAAUAACCUAUAAGGGAAAAGAACUUGAAAAGAGUGUGUGUGUGUAUGUAUACCUAUGUGUACAUACGUGUGUGUGUGUGAGUAUAUAACAGAAUCAGUGUGCUGUGUACCUGAAACAUGACAUUGUCAGGUGACUCUACUUCAGGUUUUUUUUUUUAAGUCCUGCAUAGAAUCCGUUGUCCAGGAGCUUUCACCUGUUCCCAGCCGUCUCUACCGCUCACAUCUCUAAGCCCUAAUUACUUUCCGCCAGUCACGAGGUCAUUGGACACACCAGUCAAGACAAAACACUGGUUACAUGUUGGCUUUUCCAUCAAAGAAGCCCCCCUGCAUAUGCCUUAGACAAGUCUUAGCAUUUGAAGGCACAGGAGAUUUUCAUUGACUCAGACUCCAUGACCCAAGGGUGUCUGAAGCCCAAUCCUGGCAUCUCAACCUGGAAUGAUGAGACCAGACAGGUCAGAUGCAAGAUGCAGCAGGGAAAACGGCUGCCCUGGAAUUUGCCCUGGAGGAGCGGGCGUGCCAGGCGCAGUCGUGGCCCCAAGCUCAUGAUUUGGGGAUGAUGGCUCUUGACCUUUCGGGGUGGCAGGUUUGGUUUGGUCAGAGUGCUUUCUGCCAAACACGGCACCGUGUGCUGCUUGUAGCAGGCAGAGCGUCUUCAUCGGUGGUGGUGGCAAGAUAUUGAUCCCGGGCAGGAGUCCCCCCGGGGUUUUACGUGUCGCCCAGGAAGGCGAUGAAUCUCCUUUAUGAACACAACAUAAAGUAAUCAAUGCGUUUGGCAGAUUCAUUAGGACGUUAAAAAGGCUUGGAGAAGAGAUGGAAUGCCUCAAGAAUCCAUUUAAAAGGAAGAGUAAUAGGGUUGUUAUAUCCAUGCCAGAAUAUUUUACCAAGAACGGCCAGCAUUGCAAUAUACAUCACGUUCUGCUUAUAGCAAUAAAAAUCAGCUCACAGGGAGCAGGUGUGGAAAAAGACAAACUCAUGAACGUUUGUGAAUGGAAGAAACAGCCCAAGGAGCUUUAAGAUCUUGGGAUGAAUUAUCUUAAAUCUUCCAGAGCUUUCUACUCAGACCAAGGGGUUUUUUCUAAAGGUAAAACUAUUUUUUUGUUGUUUUCAAAAUUUUAAGUUAAAAAUCUCCCUCCCAUUCAGCUUGGUAAAAUUGCUUAAAAGUAAAGGGGUUUUUUUUUGGAGUUCCCGUCGUGGCACAGUGGCUAACAAAUCCAACUAGGAACCAUGAGGUUGUGGGUUUGAUCCCUGGCCUCACUCAGUGGGUCAAGGAUCCAGUGUUGCCAUGAGCUGCGGUGUAGGUCACAGACACGGCUCAGAUCCCGCGUUGCUGUGGCUCUGGCGUAGGCCGGCAGCUACAGCUCCGAAUAGACCCCUAGCCUGGGAACCUCCAUAUGCCAAGGGAGCAAAAAAGGCAAAAAGCCCAAAAAA
rnacentral:lncRNA from 9 species